AUGACUGUCCCCUCUGCAGAAGAACGGGACUCUAUCAAGAACAAUGACCUGCAGAAUUUAGCCAAAAGGCUGGGCCUCUGGGCUAGCUUGGGUGAGGCGCAUUGUUAAGAGUCUUGAAAGCCCACCUGAAUCCAGAAUCAGAGAAGGAAAAUGCAAGCCAUUCGCCUGUGAUAAGCCUGAAAUACAAAUUAACAGUGAGGAGCCAGCUGAGAGGGAACCAGCUGGUGAUGUCACCAAACCGAGGAGAAAGCCCAAGACAGUCCACAGAAUUCCUAACUUCCAGGAUCAUUCAGAGAUAAAAAGUGAUCCUACAACAUUUCAGAAUCAAGAAAAGCAGGCAAAUCAACACCUCAGAACUACAAAGGUUUCUUUUCUGCCAGACCAGAGCCAAGAAGACAGAAUUGCAGCUUCCUCCGGACCUUGGUGGUGAUCUAAAGAGAACAACUCUCUGACGGAAUGGGUACGCAGAAUUAGAUUCCACUGGAAAACUUACAAACCCUCAUCUCUA
rnacentral:lncRNA from 1 species